CUACGGGUCGCUCCAGUCGAGGAUCAUUCGCAAUGCGCGGAAGCGUGACGAUGCGACGCUGCGUGGAGGAUGACGGCCUUCGGGUUGUAAACUCCUGUCAUAAGGGAAAAGGCGAAGAGAGAUAACAUCAAUCGGAGUUGAUGGUACCUUAAGAGGAAGCCACGGCUAACUCUGUGCCAGCAGCCGCGGUAAUACAGAGGUGGCGAGCGUUGUUCGGAUUUACUGGGCGUAAAGGGCGCGUAGGCGGUGCGGUGUGUCGGGUGUGAAAUCUUCAGGCUCAACCUGAAAAGUGCGCCCGAAACUGCCGGACUUGAGUACGGGAGGGGAGAUCGGAAUACAUGGUGUAGCGGUGAAAUGCGUUGAUAUCAUGUAGAACACCGGUGGCGAAGGCGGAUCUCUGGAACGUAACUGACGCUGAGGCGCGAAAGUCGGGGGAGCAAACAGGAUUAGAUACCCGUGUAGUC
rnacentral:rRNA from 1 species